UCCGUAGGCGGAUUAAUAAGUCAGAGGUGAAAUCCCACAGCUCAACUGUGGAACUGCCUUUGAUACUGUUAGUCUUGAGUUAUAUGGAAGUAGAUAGAAUGUGUAGUGUAGCGGUGAAAUGCAUAGAGAUUACACAGAAUACCGAUUGCGAAGGCAGUCUACUACGUAUAUACUGACGCUAAUGGACGAAAGCGUGGGGAGCGAACAGGAUUAGAUACCCUGGUAGUCC
rnacentral:rRNA from 1 species